GAAAAUCUCUAACACGCUAUCAAUUUGUUCAUUUUUCUAAAUUGUGUACCACAUCCUUUGAUUCCCCCUCCUGAGAAAGGGACACAAGAACUAACUUAUGAACUGAUAGUCACUAACUUAGUGUUACUCAGGUAGUCGGUUCUGUCAUCUUGUUUUCCUCAAUUUAGACAUUUAUUAAUAAAGAGACUAUGCUUUUGCUUAACGUAAUUAUGAAAGUAAUGCAUCAUGAUAUUUUGGCAUCAAUUUAAAGCGGAUCAUUAAACAUAUAUGUAUGUGUGUGUUUAUAUUUAGUUUAGAUAAUAAAGUAGACUAAAAGAU
rnacentral:sRNA from 1 species